rnacentral:rRNA from 1 species
AAUCAACGCUGGCGGCGUGCCUCAGACAUGCAAGUCGAACGAUUAAAGCUCUCUUCGGAGAGUGCAUAGAGUGGCGCACGGGUGAGUAACACGUAAGUAAUCUACCUUCGAGUGGGGAAUAACGUCCGGAACGGACGCUAAUACCGCAUAAUGCAGCGGCAUCGCAAGAUGACAGUUGUUAAAGGAGCAAUUCGCUUGAAGAGGAGCUUGCGGCAGAUUAGCUAGUUGGUAAGGUAAUGGCUUACCAAGGCUACGAUCUGUAACCGGUCUAAGAGGACGGUCGGUCACACUGACACUGAAUAACGGGUCAGACUCCUACGGGAGGCAGCAGUCGGGAAUUUUGGGCAAUGGGCGAAAGCCUGACCCAGCAACGCCGCGUGAAGGAUGAAGUAUUUCGGUAUGUAAACUUCGAAGGAA